CAAAACCAAACAAACCCUGGAGCUCCGGCCCAAGCCGACUUUUGCACCUCCUGUAGCACGCCCUGCGGCCCCGGGCCCCUGCUCGUCGGGAGCCUCCCGGGACCACGGGGACGGCUCCACCCCAGGGCAGCGGCGUCCCGCUGGCCCUGGGCCUUGACUGCGGGGAAAAGGUUCUCCAGAGCUGCUACGUCCCGGUAGAGAGAUUUCGCUCCACUUUUCACAGCUGGCGACUUUUGUUAUUAGAGAUGCAGCUCCAUUUUUAAAACUACUUGUUGCCACAGAUAGGCGACUACACCUCUGGAAGCAGCAGCUCCAUGCUAGAUGUGGUGGAAGAAUCUAGAGGGAAUGGACUGGAAAUUUGGAAUCACCGGAAAAUAACUCAAGGCAUCGCUAAGCUGUGACUAACAAGAUAAAUGAUUUGUUCGAGGUU